rnacentral:lncRNA from 1 species
AAUUAAUUAAAUAACAUAUUUAUAAGAUUAUGAUGUAAAAAAUUUUAUUAUGAGCCUUAAAAACAAAGUAGUUAAUUUUGUCAGAAUGUAUUUUGUUUAUUAUCAAUAGAUUGUCUUAGUAAUUGAAGAAAAAUUUAUAGAGAAUUCAAGAAAAAAAUUACAUGUGUGAGUUUGAUAGCAGAGAAAAUACAAGUUUGAAGUGAGAUAAAAUAGAUAUAAAAUAUAUUAGAGUAUUUGUCCUUAAAUGUAAUUGUAAUAGAAGAAGGGUUUUAAAAGGAUUUUGGAGGGGUGCCAAUAGUCCAACUCUUACUAUAAUUGUUUAAAUUGAAAAUAAGAUAUUUAGGUUCAAACCAUGUUUAGAUAGCGGAUUUAUCAUUUGACUGAAAAAAUAUAUAUAUAAUAAUUAAAUGUUUAUUCAAAAAAUAUAUAAAUGAAAAAUUUAAUCCAUAUGAAAUAAGAUAAGUGGUUGAAAAAUGAUAUUAAAAUUUAAAGUUUAAAAUAUGCCAAAAAUUCUUCACAUAUUUUUUUUUUGUUUUAUUUUCAAAACCAUUAAAAUUUCCCUCAAGAAAAUUUGUAAAAUUACGUAAAUAAUAACUGUAAAUACGUGUACAUAUAAUAUCAACAAGACAUGCAUGUGUCUUGGGCCCCGAUUUCUGCGGUCUGAAAGGCCUGCAAAUGAGGCCCAAUUUAAUUCCGGUGUUGUUAUCCCAUCCAACAUGAUAAUUUACAAGGGGUUUUUGUCACGUACAGUAGCAGAACCCACGCUGCCCAGCAUUACGACUCUUGUCGUUUCAUCUACACCGUCCAUUGGAAAAAUGACAAAUUAAGAAUGAUUAGAUGUCCCAGUGGUGCCGUGUCCCAGUGGUGCCGUGCAUGUCCACCUAAUAAUUGACCCACGUAGGUCCCACCAUAUGCACAAAUUUUCAAAUCAAGUGGUAGACUUUUCUACAGUCCAGGGCUGCAGGCAAUCAAUUCAUACAAGACCAAACUCAUAACUUGGAAAGCUCUCAAUGCCACGCGAAAUUCCGUUAGUGUUUGUGGGCUCAUAAUUUCAUGUGAUGACGUGGCGGAUUACGCAUAGAGUGACGUGGCCAGCUAGGCUUAUAGUUCACUCAUGGUCAUGCCUCAUGCGUAACUGCGUAAGAGUUUAUAUAGCCCGCCAUGGCUAUUGGCGAAGCGCCUAAGCCUAAGCUAACCAUUUGUUGACUCGAUCACGUGAAAUUAUACUGUUUAGUACAGUCACGCUAAAUUCUUAUCUUAGUUGGUCCGAUAAGUCAUAAAUGCCGUGGCGAAACGACAAGCUUACGCACAUGUUGGAGUCCGUGCGAACACGCUCCUUGAGCCUAGAUAAAAAAUUGAGUCCCCAAAACUGCGGCUUAAUGCAGUAAUGCUACGGAUAGCAAGUAUUUAUCUUAAAAUAAUUCAUAUUUAUUAUUAAUUAGACGGCAGGAUAUUAAAAAAAAAUUAUUUUAAAAAUAAUAUUUAUUUAUCAUUUAAUGGUUUCAUGUGAAUACUGGCUUAAGGAAUAUAAAAAGGGAUGUGCAUUAUAAUUAUUAAAAAAAUAAUAUUCUCACAAUAAUUAAAACCACUAAUUUUGUGCUCAGUAUGAAUCUACUGUUGUGAGACAAACAUGACUGCUAUUACCAUCAAUACUUGUUUAAUAUUAUAAGAUUCUACAAUUGUCGUAUAUUUGGAACAUUGAUGCUAUCCGUGUCCAUAAUCUAAAAUUGCGUGGUGAGGGAGAAGGGAGCCGAGACUGUUAUUGCAUGGUGAGGUGAAUAGAUAUGAGACUAUUGCUACUUAGUAAAGGAGAACGAAGCCGAGACUAUUGCUGUGUGGUGAGGGAGAAGGGCGCAAGAUGCGUGAGAGAGUUCGUAGCAUGCGCGCGUGUGUUUCUCACAACAAUGAGAUUUUAUACCAAGUACAAAACGCACCAUUCUAUACUCAAUAUUGUUCUAUUGUUGUGAAAAUAUCAGCACAGUAAUUAUUAAGGGUAAAAUUGGAUUCCAUAGGUACUUAUUCAGUAGAGGGGGAUGAAUUUAGAAUAAACAUUUUUUUUAUACGAUAAAAUAUCAUUUAGUUAUGAGUUUUUAACCAAGAACUCUUUAACUAAAUUGGUCAGUUUUACCUUCUUUAUAUUGAAGGUAAAGGAUUUAAGUCCCCUCGUAUGGUUUGUAAGAGUUUAUUUUUUUAUGAUUCCAGAAUGUUUUUAUAUUUUGCUUUAAUUUUAAAUUUCUGCAGCGAUUAUGUAUUCCAGAAUGCUUUUA